CCUACGGGUUGCACCAGUGGGGAAUAUUGCACAAUGGGCGCAAGCCUGAUGCAGCCAUGCCGCGUGUAUGAAGAAGGCCUUAGGGUUGUAAAGUACUUUCAGUUGGGAGGAAGGCGUUGAUGCUAAUAUCAUCAACGAUUGACGUUACCAACAGAAGAAGCACCGGCUAACUCCGUGCCAGCAGCCGCGGUGAUACGGAGGGUGCAAGCGUUAAUCGGAAUUACUGGGCGUAAAGCGCUCGCAGGCGGUUGAUUAAGUUAGAUGUGAAACCCCCGGGCUUAACCUGGGAAUGGCAUCUAAGACUGGUCAGCUAGAGUCUUGUAGAGGGGGGGUAGAAUUCCAUGUGUAGCGGUGAAAUGCGUAGAGAUCUGAAGGAAUACCAGUGGCGAAGGCGGCCCCCUGGACAAAGACUGACGCUCAGAUGCGAAAGCGUGGGGAGCAAACAGGAUUAGAUACCCGGGUAGUC
rnacentral:rRNA from 1 species